GGUCGCCUCACCGCGAGUACUGGUCCGGCUGGACCUUUCCUUCUGGGGAACCUCAUGGCCUUCACUGGCUGUGGGGGGAACCAGGACUUUUACUGUGAAAAAAUUAGAGUGUUCAAAGCAGGCCUUUGCUCGAAUACAUUAGCAUGGAAUAAUAGAAUAGGACGUGUGGUUCUAUUUUGUUGGUUUCUAGGACCGCCGUAAUGAUUAAUAGGGAUAGUCGGGGGCGUCAGUAUUCAGCUGUCAGAGGUGAAAUUCUUGGAUUUGCUGAAGACUAACUACUGCGAAAGCAUUCGCCAAGGAUGUUUUCAUUAAUCAGGGAACGAAAGUUAGGGGAUCGAAGACGAUCAGAUACCGUCGUAGUCUUAACCAUAAACUAUGCCGACUAGGGAUCGGACGGGAUUCUAUAAUGACCCGUUCGGCACCUUACGAGAAAUCAAAGUUUUUGGGUUCUGGGGGGAGUAUGGUCGCAAGGCUGAAACUUAAAGAAAUUGACG
rnacentral:rRNA from 1 species